UUUAGGAUAGUAAUUAAUUAUAAUCAGUCUCUGUAUAAUACGACCUUACUUGCUACUGUACACAAUUGCACCCGUGUACUUGCGGUGUGUUAAGAAAUUAGUGAACGAGUUUUUGGCGUCGUUGCCAGGGCUUGAUUUAUUUUUUAUACUAUCUGUGAAUGGUUAGCUACUAAUCUGGAUUUUUAUUUCUGUUAUUUUAUUUCUGUUUUUUAUUUUUAUUUUUUUCUUUUGGUUCUGAUGUCAGGUAGUGUAUGACUACAAGGAUCUCGGAGUCUACCUCUCGCAGAUUUUGAUCUUGAAAUUGAAGCUUCUUGCUGCCGAAAAAACAGCCAGAGUAACAGAGUUAAGCUGGGAUUGAUGGCAAAACAGGAAGAAGUUCGUGCUGAGGAAGAAUAGCUACAGCGGUUGUUGGAUGGUCAGAAAAAUUUUGGAGGCUAAAAAAUAGCCUUC
rnacentral:lncRNA from 1 species